UACAGAGGGUGCGAGCGUUAAUCGGAAUUACUGGGCGUAAAGGGCGCGUAGGCGGUUAUAUAAGUUGGAUGUGAAAUCCCUGGGCUUAACCUAGGAACUGCAUCCAAGACUGUGUGACUAGAGUGCUGUAGAGGGUAGUGGAAUUUCCGGUGUAGCGGUGAAAUGCGUAGAUAUCGGAAGGAACACCAGUGGCGAAGGCGGCUACCUGGACAGACACUGACGCUGAGGCGCGAGAGCGUGGGGAGCAAACAGG
rnacentral:rRNA from 1 species